rnacentral:pre_miRNA from 1 species
UGGCGGCGGUGGCGCCUGUUGAGCGACGCUCGCUCGACGGCCGCGUGAGUUGUUUUGUUUUGCGGUUGCCCUCGCACGACGGACGUUUCCGCUGCGCU